GGGUGCGCCUUGGCCUGGAGGCUGGGAGGCCGCCCCCAGCCGCUGCUACCCACGCAGAGCCGGGCUGGCUUCGCGGGGGCGGCGGGCGGCCCGAGCCCCGUGGCUGCAGCUCGUAAGGGGAGCCCGCGGCUGCUGGGAGCAGCGGCGCUGGCCCUGGGGGGAGCCCUGGGGCUGUACCACACGGCGCGGUGGCACCUGCGCGCCCAGGACCUCCACGCAGAGCGCUCAGCCGCGCAGCUCUCCCUGUCCAGCCGCCUGCAGCUGACCCUGUACCAGUACAAGACGUGUCCCUUCUGCAGCAAGGUCCGAGCCUUCCUCGACUUCCACGCCCUGCCCUACCAGGUGGUGGAGGUGAACCCUGUGCGCAGGGCUGAGAUCAAGUUCUCCUCCUACAGAAAGGUGCCCAUCCUGGUGGCCCAGGAAGGAGAAAGCUCGCAACAACUAAAUGACUCCUCUGUCAUCAUCAGCGCCCUCAAGACCUACCUGGUGUCGGGCCCCUGGAAGAGAUCAUCACCUACUACCCAGCCAUGAAGGCUGUGAACGAGCAGGGCAAGGAGGUGACCGAGUUCGGCAAUAAGUACUGGCUCAUGCUCAACGAGAAGGAGGCCCAGCAAGUGUAUGGCGGGAAGGAGGCCAGGACGGAGGAGAUGAAGUGGCGGCAGUGGGCGGACGACUGGCUGGUGCACCUGAUCUCCCCCAAUGUGUACCGCACGCCCACCGAGGCUCUGGCGUCCUUUGACUACAUUGUCCGCGAGGGCAAGUUCGGAGCUGUGGAGGGUGCCGUGGCCAAGUACAUGGGUGCAGCGGCCAUGUACCUCAUCAGCAAGCGACUCAAGAGCAGGCACCGCCUCCAGGACAAUGUGCGCGAGGAUC
rnacentral:sRNA from 1 species